GCGGGCCUGGCUAAUAAAAGUGUUUUAAUAGUGUUUUGAAAAUUGAUCCGUUAAGUGGUGAUUAAAAACUCUGUGAUUAUUUAAUUUUUCCUGUGCUAUUGCCUCUUGGAAUUAUCGCUGAUGAUGUGCGUCAUUUUGGGAUAUUUUUUGGAGAGGUGUCAAUUUUUCCCUUUGUAUAUUUAGAAUUUGUUUUGUAACGUAAAUACGUAGUAUCUAAUUUAGAUGUUUGUAAAAUAGAACAUGUUAAUAGUGCCAUUCGACUAGAUUAUGCAAUGCUUAAUGGGAGCAGUUUGAGGAUGUACUGAUUGUAAUAACGAUAUUCAUUGACCAAAUUCAAAAGUAAAAUUUAAAAAGCAACUAUUUGUACUAAAUGUUAUUUAAAUUAGAUAAAAUAUUGUUAUUAAAUACCGUGUUAAAUAGUGGUUAUGUCAAAAACAAUCAGGUCAAUCAGUUAUUUAAUAUUCCUCGAUUUUUAAUCAUUCAAUUGAGAAACAAAUCACAUUUUUUAAAAAACGAUUAAGAUUAUCUUGAACUCCAAGAAUCGCUUAAAUUCGUGCUAUUUCCAUUUAAAAUAUGAAAAUUAAGUACCGAUUGUGGUAUACUAGAGAUUUUUUAUUGCUUUCAGAAUAUCUUAUAUUGUUGACUCUUUGACAAUAUUUUAUGAUAAAGGAUACUGAUUAAUGUACAAGUAAUAUUUAAAAACAAUUCCUUAUUGUCCUUAUUUGAAUGUAUGGGAUCGAAAUUGAAAUCAUUAUAGUAUGCACCAUGUAGUGUCACAUUUUCGUUGUUAACUUUAAGGAAUUUAGAUAUAUCAUAUGUUCUGUCUAAAAAUACAACCAAUCGCGAAUCUCAUAAAAGUUCUAAAUAACAACAUCUGUGAAUAAUUUACAAGCAUUGGUAGAUACGCAGUUUUGUACCUUUUUAAUGUUCAGACAAAACAACAUAAUCUUCACAGAGUUUUUAACACCUCGAUUGGUACGUACUUGUUAAACUAUAUAUCCUUAUCAAAGAAAAUAUGCGAAACUAUGAAAUCGUUAUAAAUGCAACUAAAAUAGCUUUACCCCUAUAGUUCUAGGUGGCUUUAGAUGGAAAUGGCUGAAUGUGUCGUUGGGGCCGUACGUGCGAGCGAUCGAGCAACCUGUCAUUUUCCUACUUCCGGUCGCCAGCUCUCACCGUUUCCGGCCUGCCGGCGUGGCGGACCCCGUGCCAGGAGCGCGUUUACACAGGGCCCUCGUCUCGUAUGAAUUCUGUAAAUGCACUAUCUGGUACGACAGUCCGCCAUGUGCACGCUCCAAUGCACACGCAAUGCGAUCUCUUUAAUGCAACGCACACUCUAGGUGUCACGAUUAGAUUGCCGCCGCUGCGAGUUUGUGGACUCGGUGUCUCGUGCU